rnacentral:rRNA from 1 species
GACGAACGCUGGCGGCGUGCCCAAUACAUGCAAGUUGAGCGCUGAAGGUUGGUACUUGUACCAACUGGAUGAGCAGCGAACGGGUGAGUAACGCGUGGGGAAUCUGCCUUUGAGCGGGGGACAACAUUUGGAAACGAAUGCUAAUACCGCAUAAAAACUUUAAACACAAGUUUUAAGUUUGAAAGAUGCAAUUGCAUCACUCAAAGAUGAUCCCGCGUUGUAUUAGCUAGUUGGUGAGGUAAAGGCUCACCAAGGCGAUGAUACAUAGCCGACCUGAGAGGGUGAACGGCCACAUUGGGACUGAGAAACGGCCCAAACUCCUACGGGGGGCAGCAGUAGGGAAUUUUCGGAAAUGGAGGAAAGGCGGACCGGGCAACGCCGGGGGAGGGAAGAAGGUGUUCGGAUCGUAAAACUCUGUUGGUAGAGAAGAACGUGGGGGAGGGUGAAAAGCCCAUCAAGUGACGGUAACUACCCAAAAAGGAACGGCUAACUACGU